rnacentral:rRNA from 1 species
GAUGAACGCUGGCGGCGUGCCUAAUACAUGCAAGUCGAGCGAACAGACGAGGAGCUUGCUCCUCUGACGUUAGCGGCGGACAGGUGAGUAACACGUGGAUAACCUACCUAUAAGACUGGGAUAACUUCGGGAAACCGGAGCUAAUACCGGAUAAUAUAUUGAACCGCAUGGUUCAAUAGUGAAAGACGGUUUUGCUGUCACUUAUAGAUGGAUCCGCGCCGCAUUAGCUAGUUGGUAAGGUAACGGCUACCAAGGCAACGAUGCGUAGCCGACCUGAGAGGGUGAUCGGCCACACUGGAACUGAGACACGGUCCAGACUCCUACGGGAGGCAGCAGUAGGGAAUCUUCCGCAAUGGGCGAAAGCCUGACGGAGCAACGCCGCGUGAGUGAUGAAGGUCUUCGGAUCGUAAAACUCUGUUAUUAGGGAAGAACAAAUGUGUAAGUAACUAUGCACGUCUUGACGGUACCUAAUCAGAAAGCCACGGCUAACUACGUG